GGGCACAGGUGCAGCAUGCCAACAAUAAGUAAUAAUAAGCAUCUAAUAAUGCUGAUAAAUCUUAGUUUGAAAUGAUGCAUAGAGUCAAUAAAAGACAGAGUGUGUGAUCACCUAAACUAAGUCACACACACUCUGUUUAAGGCCCCCUGCCGCCGUUGCAUCAUGGUCCUAUAUUUAAAUGUGGGUGAGCACAACUUGUAGACAGGUGAAUGCAUCAGACACAAAACAGCUGAUUUCAGGAUAUCACAGCUCGGAUAAAGCAUGUAGUUACAGGCCUCAUGUUCACACCGCCGCCACGCCGGAGCACAUUCGCUGUCUAGCCGACACUGAGAGCGCGCUGCCGGGGCCCGGCGGAGUCCACUGAGCGGUGCCACGAUGCGGUGCCACAAGUUUUGGGGACCAUGUUCGAUGGUUGGAUAUUAUAUUUGUGCGGCCAUGCUUUUCAAAGGUAUGUUUAUGGGGGAAAGUCGCUCUUUAGGUUUUUUGCUAAAUUACAAAGUUUUUUUGUUUUUAAAUCCCUUCAGUGAGUGCCUGAGUCUGUUUAGGUAAAAGUGACUGAGAAAUGGAGGAUUUAGUUUUGACUGAAAAACAAUUUUUUUUUUUAGCUCAUAUUGCCCCUUUUCUGUUAUUCCUGAAACGACUAAUGCGAUUUGGUAUGGUCUUUUUAGGAAGCCCUUUUCAAGAUUAAGCAAUUUAUUGUUUCGCAUUGGAAACUCUUCCAAUUAAAGGCAGUGUUUAUACCUUUAUUUAUUUAUGCUGCUGUAUUUUGCUCACCGGACUGAAUCGAAUUUGUUUUGUGGAGUCAGCAAAUGUCCUAUAGAAUAAGUGGCGUGAAUUUAACCCCCCCCGCAACCACCUCUUUCUGCACCCUAAAUGGUACUUCUCAACACUUUGGUCCACAUACACUCAUGCACUUUUGUUAGAGGGUGAUUUAAUACGCUAAGAGUUAUUUUUAAACACUGAGCAAACGUCUGUGUGCAUUUGUGUGUGUGUGUGAUAAGAGUGUGUGCAUUAAUGUUCGCUCAUUCGUGUGCAAUGAGAUGAGCAUGCAUGACUCUAAUUCUCUCCUAAGCCCCAUCCCAUCAUCAUCAUCACCAUCAGCAUCAUCAUCUGUAACAUCUGGGUUGUUUACUUACCAGUAUGUGACACAGCGGCUUUGCUGAAGAUAUGCUUUUAACCCCUCUAUGAAGGCAUGUGUGCGUGUGUGUGUGUGUUUGUGUGUGUGUGUGUGUGUGUGUGUGUGUGUGUGUGUGUGUGUGUGUGUGUGUGUGUCCACUGUGUGCCAACAUUAAACCUUCCUCCUUCCACUGUCUUCUCAACAGCAAUUCAGUAAGGACUUGUUUGUUGG
rnacentral:lncRNA from 1 species